UGAAUGCUAGGUGUAGGAGGUAUCGACCCCUCCUGUGCCGGAGUUAACGCAAUAAGCAUUCCGCCUGGGGAGUACGGUCGCAAGACUGAAACUCAAAGGAAUUGACGGGGGCCCGCACAAGCGGUGGAGUAUGUGGUUUAAUUCGACGCAACGCGAAGAACCUUACCAGGGCUUGACAUUGAGUGAAAGAGCUAGAGAUAGCUUAUUUCCUUCGGGAACACGAAAACAGGUGGUGCAUGGCUGUCGUCAG
rnacentral:rRNA from 1 species